rnacentral:rRNA from 1 species
UACGUAGGUGACAAGCGUUGUCCGGAUUUACUGGGCGUAAAGAGCGCGCAGGCGGUCGUUCAAGUCGAGUGUGAAAGCCCCCGGCUCAACUGGGGAGGGUCACUCGAUACUGAUCGACUUGAAGGCAGGAGAGGGAAGCGGAAUUCCCGGUGUAGUGGUGAAAUGCGUAGAUAUCGGGAGGAACACCAGUGGCGAAGGCGGCUUCCUGGCCUGCGCUUG